UACAAUUACAGGUAUAUGUACACUGUUCAAACAUCUGAACUGUGAUUAAAGCAAUUAAGCGUAUGUUAAGUACGUCGCACUCAGAUGGGAAAGCACCGUGAGGUGCUUUUUUUGUUAAUGA
ncrna:Streptococcus vestibularis F0396 DTF3800-I RNA